rnacentral:rRNA from 1 species
GGGUGAGUAACACGUGACUAACCUACCUCGAGUGGGGAAUAACUCGGGAAACGGGGCUAUACCGCAUAACCUACGGCAAAUGCGAGCUUGAGGAGGGGGUCGCGGCUGAUUAGCUAGUUGGCGGGGUAAUGGCCCACCAAGGCAAUGAUCAGUAGCCGGCCUGAGAGGGCGCACGGCCACACUGGAACUGAAACACGGUCCAGACUCCUACGGGAGGCAGCAGUGGGGAAUUUUGCGCAAUGGGGGAAACCCUGACGCAGCAACGCCGCGUGGAGGAUGAAGCCCCUUGGGGUGUAAACCCCUUUCGAUCGGGACGAUUGACGGUACCGGAUGAAGAAGCACCGGCUAACUCUGUGCCAGCAGCCGCGGUAAUACAGAGGGUGCAAGC